rnacentral:rRNA from 1 species
CUGGUUGAUCCUGCCAGUAGUCAUAUGCUUGUCUCAAAGAUUAAGCCAUGCAUGUCUAAGUUCAAGCGAAAAUAAAGUGAAACCGCGAAUGGCUCAUUACAUCAGUUAUGGUUCCUUAGAUCGCACUUACUACUUGGAUAACUGUGGUAAUUCUAGAGCUAAUACAUGCACUGAGCUCCAACCCUCGUGGAAGGAGCGCUUUUAUUAGAUCAAAGCCAAUCGGGCCUUCGGGUCCGUACCGUUGGUGACUCUGAAUAACUUUGCUGAUCGCAUGGUCUCGUACCGGCGACGUAUCUUUCAAGUGUCUGCCUUAUCAACUGUCAAUGGUAGGUUAUGCGCCUACCAUGGUUGUAACGGGUAACGGGGAAUCAGGGUUCGAUUCCGGAGAGGGAGCCUGAGAAACGGCUACCACAUCCAAGGAAGGCAGCAGGCGCGCAAAUUACCCACUCCCGGCACGGGGAGGUAGUGACGAAAAAUAACGAUACGGAACUCACAUGAGGCUCCGUAAUCGGAAUGAGUACACUUUAAAUCCUUUAACGAGGAUCUAUUGGAGGGCAAGUCUGGUGCCAGCAGCCGCGGUAAUUCCAGCUCCAAUAGCGUAUAUUAAAGUUGUUGCGGUUAAAAAGCUCGUAGUUGGAUCUCGGUUUCGGGCGGGUGGUGCGCCUUGCGGUGUUUACUGUCUGCCCGGACGAUUUUGUUGGUUCGUUCGUGGUUCUCUUAACCGAGUGCCACGGGUGGCCAGCACGUUUACUUUGAAAAAAUUGGAGUGCUCAAAGCAGGCGCUACAGCCUGAACAUUAGCGCAUGGAAUAAUGGAAUAGGACCUCGGUUCUAUUUCGUUGGCUUUCGGAGUCGAGGUAAUGAUUAAUAGGAACAGACGGGGGCAUUCGUACUGCGACGUUAGAGGUGAAAUUCUUGGAUCGUCGCAAGACGAACUACUGCGAAAGCAUUUGCCAAGAAUGUUUUCAUUAAUCAAGAACGAAAGUUAGAGGUUCGAAGGCGAUCAGAUACCGCCCUAGUUCUAACCAUAAACGAUGCCGACCGGCGAUCCGCCGUCGUUAAUUGAAUGACUCGGCGGGCAGCCUCCGGGAAACCAGAGUGUUUGGGUUCCGGGGGAAGUAUGGUUGCAAAGCUGAAACUUAAAGGAAUUGACGGAAGGGCACCACCAGGAGUGGAGCCUGCGGCUUAAUUUGACUCAACACGGGAAAUCUCACCAGGCCCGGACACCGGAAGGAUUGACAGAUUGAGAGCUCUUUCUUGAUUCGGUGGGUGGUGGUGCAUGGCCGUUCUUAGUUGGUGGAGCGAUUUGUCUGGUUAAUUCCGAUAACGAACGAGACUCUGGCCUACUAACUAGAUGUAGGAUCCCUUUGUGGGUCCGUCACUGCUUCUUAGAGGGACGGGCGGCUUUUAGCCGCACGAGAAUGAGCAAUAACAGGUCUGUGAUGCCCUUAGAUGUUCUGGGCUGCACGCGCGCUACACUGAAGGAAUCAGCGUGUGUUCCCUACCCGAAAGGGUUGGGAAACCCGUUGAACCUCCUUCGUGAUGGGGAUUGGGGAUUGCAAUUAUUCCCCAUGAACGAGGAAUUCCCAGUAGGCGCGAGUCAUAAGCUUGCGUCGAUUACGUCCCUGCCCUUUGUACACACCGCCCGUCGCUACUACCGAUCGAGUGAUUUAGUGAGGACUUCGGACUGGUCUUCGUGGUGGCUUUCGAGUCAUGACGGAGUUCCGGAAAGAUGCCCAAACUUGAUCACUUAGAGGAAGUAAAAGUCGUAACAAGGUUUCCGUAGGUGAACCUGCA